UUUAGCGACGGAAUUUACUUCCGUCGGAAAAAAAAAAUUUUGCGACGGAAUUAGCGACGGAUCAGCGACGAAUAUUGUAUUUUGAGAUUUCUGACAGAUUUCCGACAGAUUAGCGACGGAUUAUAAAAAUAUUAGCGACGGAAUAAAUUCCGUCGCUAAUCCGUCAGAAAAUGCAAAUACUAUAAAAAAAAAAAACCCUAAUCAUUCAUCCUCACUUCUGAUUUUAGCCGCCCACUUCCUCUCCUCUCCUCUCCUCUCCUCUCCUGUUCUUUCUCCUUACCGAAAUCGCCGCCGCCGCCGCUGCCGUUGAUCCCGUCACUGUCGCCGCUGCUGAACGCUCGCCACUGCUGGACGCUCCUCUCGCCACUACUGCGUUGCCGCUCGCCACUGCCGCCACUUCCGCCACUGCCUAUCAAAUAUUUCAGUUGGAGAUGAGUAUCUGCCAAUUGCAACUGCAAAUGGAAGCAUUCUGACUUGGUCUAUAUUAGGCAGUGGGAGGAUUUGGUAGAGGUCAGUGUCAUUCUGGUGGAAAUGAAAUUGUUACUGGAAGGGCCUGUCCAAAAGGGCUUUAUGGUAUAUUCUGCGAGAAGAACAGUAUUAUCUUAGAGGUAGAGGGUAUGGCCAGCAUCUCUCUAUGAAUGAAAGACAUGAGGCAACAGAGAUGCAAAAGGAAACACGAGAGCAUACUCCACAAGCAAACAUAUUUUCAUCAUCACACAACUGUAGAUUCUACUUCUCCAUCAGAUAUUUCAGCAAACUGAUAGAUUUGUUUUAAAUUUUAUGAAUAUUGUUAAGUAUAUGGAUUUGUUCUAAACUUUCGAUUUUGUAAACAUUGUGAAGUAUUUGUGUGUAUGAAUAUGAAUUAUAAUGAUUAUGAAUGACUUUUAAUUUAUA